CCUACGGGUGGCAGCAGUGGGGAAUAUUGCACAAUGGGGGAAACCCUGAUGCAGCGACGCCGCGUGAGCGAUGAAGUAUUUCGGUAUGUAAAGCUCUAUCAGCAGGGAAGAAAAUGCCGGUACCUGACUAAGAAGCCCCGGCUAACUACGGGCCAGCAGCCGCGGUCAUACGUAGGGGGCAAGCGGUCUCCGGAGUGACUGGGUGUAAAGGGAGCGUAGGCGGCUUGGCAAGCCAGAUGGGAAAGACCGGGGCUCAACCCCUGGACUGCAUGUGGAACUGUAAGGCUAGAGUGUCGGAGAGGCAGGCGGAAUUCCUGGUGUAGCGGUGAAAUGCGUAGAUAUUAGGAGGAACACCAGUGGCGAAGGCGGCAUGCUGGACGAUAACUGACGUUGAGGCUCGAAAGCGUGGGGAGCAAACAGGAUUAGAUACCCUUGUAGUC
rnacentral:rRNA from 1 species